rnacentral:rRNA from 1 species
UACGUAGGGUGCAAGCGUUGUCCGGAAUUAUUGGGCGUAAAGAGCUCGUAGGCGGUUUGUCGCGUCUGCUGUGAAAACUCGGGGCUUAACCCCGGGCCUGCAGUGGGUACGGGCAGACUAGAGUGCGGUAGGGGAGACUGGAAUUCCUGGUGUAGCGGUGAAAUGCGCAGAUAUCAGGAGGAACACCGGUGGCGAAGGCGGGUCUCUGGGCAGUAACUGACGCUGAGAAGCGAAAGCGUGGGGAGCGAACAGG